AUGCAGGAAGCUAUGAAAAAGGUACCUAAAGAUAUUCCAAAGGAUGACUGGGAAUGGCUUGUCAAGGAGCAUUUUUUCAGCAGGGAGUUUCUGAAAAAGAGCAAGAGAAACACCCAAAACAGAGCUAACCUCAAAAUGCUUCACCGAUCUGGCAGUAAACCCUUUAGACAGAUAAUUUGGGACAUGGGAGGAAAGGAAAACAAGCCACCGAGUAUGGAUAAACUAUUUUCAGAGACACACAAGAAGGGUACAGACUUCCCUGAUUCUACAACCUCCGCCAAACAUGCAAAAAUUAAGACCAUAGUUCAGUUGAAUCCUGGUCUUUCAAAUGAUGAAGUCAUGCAGAAAUGUGACACAUCUAAGCGGCGUGAUCGCGUAGUUGGAUUUGGUGGUGGAAUUAGAGCAAGAGAUUUGCGAGGACCAGCAUUAAGUAAGGCUGAAUCAAUUUCUCAACUUCAAGCUUCUGAGCAAGCGAAACAAGUACUCGAAGAAAAGGUCAAUGGCAUGGCGCAAGAAGUAUCAGAAAUUAAGCAUCUUCUAUCUGGUAGAUCUCUAACUGAUAGUUCUCAUGAACGCCAACAUGAUCAAGACUGA
rnacentral:rRNA from 1 species